rnacentral:rRNA from 1 species
UACGAAGGGGGCUAGCGUUGCUCGGAAUCACUGGGCGUAAAGGGUGCGUAGGCGGGUCUUUAAGUCAGGGGUGAAAUCCUGGAGCUCAACUCCAGAACUGCCUUUGAUACUGAGGAUCUUGAGUUCGGGAGAGGUGAGUGGAACUGCGAGUGUAGAGGUGAAAUUCGUAGAUAUUCGCAAGAACACCAGUGGCGAAGGCGGCUCACUGGCCCGAUACCUGACGCUGAGGCACGAAAGCGUGGGGAGCAAACAGG